rnacentral:rRNA from 1 species
UACGUAGGGUGCAAGCGUUGUCCGGAAUUAUUGGGCGUAAAGAGCUCGUAGGCGGUUUGUUGCGUCGGCUGUGAAAUCCCGAGGCUCAACCUCGGGUCUGCAGUCGAUACGAGCAAACUAGAGUGUUGCAGGGGAGACUGGAAUUCCUGGUGUAGCGGUGAAAUGCGCAGAUAUCAGGAGGAACACCGGUGGCGAAGGCGGGUCUCUAGUACGGUACUGACGCUGAGACGCGAAAGCGUGGGGAGCGAACAGG